UUGUUCUGGAAUUUGCUCUGGAGGCCAGGCUGGCCUCAAGCUCACUCAGAGAUUUACCUGCCUGUCUCUCUCAAGUGCUGGGAUCAAAGGCGUGUACACCAUGUCCUGGCUUACUCUUUGUUUGUUUGUUUGUUUGUUUGUUUGAGACAGGACAAUUAGCCCAGGCUAGCUUUGAAUCCCUGAGCCUCCCAAGUGCUGGGAUUACCAUCGUAUACCACCAUAGUCAGUAUCAUUUUUUAAAAAGAUUUAUUUAUUUAUUAUAUAUGAGUACACUGUAGCUGUCUUCAGACAUACCAGAAGAGGGCAUCAGAUCUCAUUACAGAUGGUUGUGAGCCACCAGGUGGUUGCUGGGAAUUGAACUCAGGACCUCUGGAAGAGCAGUCAGUGCUCUUAACCGCUGAGCCAUCUCUCCAGCCCUACUAACAUUAUUUUUAAAAGUUAAUGGAGGGAAAGAAAGAAGAAAAAGUUUACUGAGUUCCAUGAUUCCUGAGGCCUCAGGACAGUGAACUAUGUUAGAUCCGGACGUUUCUGCAGAGGCUCUGCCAAUCCUAUAAGACAGAUGCAUAGAAACAGUUUCUAUGGAAACACACACGCCUCUUGUAACUGUAAUACUGAAGUCUAUGCUGCCUGUCAACACAAACACCAGAGCAGAGGCAGGUUCUCAGUCUCCAAGUGAUGACUGACUCAGACGGACAGCAAUCCAAGAACUCAGCAGUUUCACACUCUAAGAAGUGGGCCACUGUAUGUUGUAUAUCCAGGCAGUACAUUACGGAGGGUGGCAUGGACAGGACAGAACACAGGACAAAGCUAAUGUUGAAUGAUGCAAGCUGAGCGUGCCCUGACGAGGCGAGGUGUUCCUGUCCUACAGUUUAACCUUUCAAACAUGUGAUCCCUGACUGCAAGCUAAGCAUUCCCAAAAAACGUGUCAUCUUCCUAGAUCAGGAUCUUCAACUGGGCAUGCUCAGGGGUAUCCCCAGUCCAGAGGGAGGGAUUGUCUCCCUGAAUAGGAACAAAAUCCCUGCAGUUCUCCCUUCGGGAAGGACAUUGCUUUGGAAAUAACUCCUGUGCUCUCCUCACCCAUGGCAGUAAAUCUUCCUGCGUUCAUUGAA